rnacentral:rRNA from 1 species
AUUGAACGCUGGCGGCAGGCCUAACACAUGCAAGUCGAACGAGUGGCAGACGGGUGAGUAAUGUCUGGGACACUGCCUGAUGGAGGGGGAUAAAUACUAGAAACGGUAGCUAAUACCGCAUACCAUCAGAUGUGCCCCGAUGGGAUUAGCUAGUUGGUGGGGUAACGGCUCACCAAGGCGACGAUCCCUAGGUGUGCUGAGAGGAUGACAAUCGACACUGAAACGGUGACACGGGCCAGACUACUAAGGGAGGCAGCAUUGGGGAAUAUUGCACAAGGGGCGCAAGCCUGAUGAAGCAAUGCGGCGUGUAUGAAGAAGGCCUUCGGGUUGUAAAGUACUUUCAGCGGGGAGUCGUUACCCGCAGAAGAAGCACCGGCUAACUCCGUGCCAGCAGCGGCGGUAAUUC